rnacentral:rRNA from 1 species
UACGAAGGGGGCUAGCGUUGCUCGGAACUACUGGGCGUAAAGCGCACGUAGGCGGAUUGUUAAGUCGGGGGUGAAAUCCUGGAGCUCAACUCCAGAACUGCCUUCGAUACUGGCGAUCUCGAGUUCGGGAGAGGUGAGUGGAACUGCGAGUGUAGAGGUGAAAUUCGUAGAUAUUCGCAAGAACACCAGUGGCGAAGGCGGCUCACUGGCCCGAUACUGACGCUGAGGUGCGAAAGCGUGGGGAGCAAACAGG